GAAGAGAAUUACUGUAAAAAAAUAGUUGCAGAUUCUGACACCCUUUUGGGAAAUUCGAAUUGGGUUUGGGUUUUCUUGGGAGAUGGCGUUAAAUCCUAGUAGUAGAAUGGACUCACAAACGGCUGCUGAAAAAGCCGUCUCUGUGAUUGGGUUAGGUUAUGAUUUGACAAGUGAUAUCCGGUUGACGGCCUGUAAAAUCGGACCGAAUGGGUAUGGUUUGAUAGAGAUUGAUCAGAAGUCGACCAAGGACCUGCUGGUGCCUGGUGGGGUGGUGGUUUCUAAUGUUUCCACCUCUAUCAAGUGCGAUAAAGGGGAACGAACUAGGUUUCGCUCUGAUGCUCUUUCUUUUAGUCAGAUGUCAGAGCAAUUAAAUCAGGAGCUGUCCCUGUCUGGUAAGAUACCUUCUGGGUUGUUUAAUGCGAUGUUUGGUCACAAGGGAUGCUGGCAAAAAGAUGCAUCUUCGACAAAGCUUCUCGCUUUUGAUGGUUGGUUCAUUACCUUGUACAAUAUUGAGUUGGUGAGAUCCCAUCUAACACUGUCUGAGCAAGUAAAACAAGACGUGCCUUCUUCUUGGGAUCCUCCUGCACUUGCAGA
rnacentral:misc_RNA from 1 species